UACGUAGGGACCGAGCGUUGUCCGGAAUCAUUGGGCGUAAAGAGCGUGUAGGCGGCCACUUAAGUCCUGCGUGAAAUCUUGCGGCUCAACCGCAAGCGGUCGUGGGAAACUGGGUGGCUAGAGUGCGGGAGAGGGGAGUGGAAUUCCUGGUGUAGCGGUGGAAUGCGCAGAUAUCAGGAAGAACACCCGUGGCGAAGGCGGCUCUCUGGAACGCAACUGACGCUGAGACGCGAAAGCGUGGGGAGCAAACAGG
rnacentral:rRNA from 1 species